rnacentral:sRNA from 1 species
AUGUAAGCACUGGACAGCUAAGUUUUCUCCUUAUCCAAAGGCCCAGGUACAGCAUGCAAAGCAGUGGUGCCCUGCCAAUUUGCCUCAUCCUGUUUUGGAGGGACCACCUCUGUGUGUGACAGGAUAGUUCCGUUGCCAUGCCUACACAGCCCUCA